CGGAGUGUAGCUCAGCUUGGUAGAGCACUGCCUUCGGGAGGCAGGGGCCGGAGGUUCGAAUCCUCUCACUCCGA
rfam:Thiolapillus brandeum DNA, complete genome.